rnacentral:rRNA from 1 species
AUUGAACGCUGGCGGCAUGCUUUACACAUGCAGGUCGAACGGUAACAGGUUAAGCUGACGAGUGGCGAACGGGUGAGUAAUGCAUCGGAACGUGCCCGGUCGUGGGGGAUAACGCAGCGAAAGCUGCGCUAAUACCGCAUACGAUCUGAGGAUGAAAGCGGGGGACCGUAAGGCCUCGCGCGAUCGGAGCGGCCGAUGGCAGAUUAGGUAGUUGGUGGGGUAAAGGCUCACCAAGCCAACGAUCUGUAGCUGGUCUGAGAGGACGACCAGCCACACUGGGACUGAGACACGGCCCAGACUCCUACGGGAGGCAGCAGUGGGGAAUUUUGGACAAUGGGCGAAAGCCUGAUCCAGCAAUGCCGCGUGCAGGAAGAAGGCCUUCGGGUUGUAAACUGCUUUUGUACGGAGCGAAAAGGUCUCCUCUAAUACAGGGGGCUCAUGACGGUACCGUAAGAAUAAGCACCGGCUAACUACGUGCCAGCAGCCGCCGUAA